GAUGAACGCUGGCGGCGUGCCUAAUACAUGCAAGUCGAGCGAACAGACGAGGAGCUUGCUCCUCUGACGUUAGCGGCGGACGGGUGAGUAACACGUGGAUAACCUACCUAUAAGACUGGGAUAACUUCGGGAAACCGGAGCUAAUACCGGAUAAUAUAUUGAACCGCAUGGUUCAAUAGUGAAAGACGGUUUUGCUGUCACUUAUAGAUGGAUCCGCGCCGCAUUAGCUAGUUGGUAAGGUAACGGCUUACCAAGGCAACGAUGCGUAGCCGACGUGAGAGGGUGGUAGGCCACACUGGAACGGGGACACGGUCCAGACUACUACGGGAGGCAGCAGUAGGGAAUCUUCCGCAAUGGUCGAAAGCCUGACGGAGCAACGCCGCGUGAGUUAUGAAGGUCUUCGGAGCGGAAAACUGUGUUAUUAGUGAAGAACAAAUGUGUAAGUAACUAUGCACGGCUUGACGGUACCUAAUCAGAAAGCCACGGCUAACUACGUG
rnacentral:rRNA from 1 species